rnacentral:lncRNA from 1 species
ACGUAAAUCCGACCGUGAAUCUGCAUGAAAUGUAAAUGACACAAGAUGUAUCGUGGUUCACCCCAAUGUUUGGGCUACGUCCACACUGUAGUUGAUUCUGUUUCUCUGUAAGUGUAUGGAUACAAGUGUUUGGGGGAAGUCCCCCAGAGAAAGAAGAGAAGGGAGAGGAGAGCCUCGGUGGUGUGAGGUCUCUCCUGAAUGUAAUGAGAGCUUCUCUUAGCCUUCUUAGGCUUAGCUCUUUUGCCUCCUUUAGAAUGAGGGUAGGAGUCCCCUUUUAUAGAAUAAGGGGUUCAUCCUCUUUUACAAAGUAUGGGCUUUAGUGUGAGGCCUAAAUACAAGGCCUAAGGCCCAAAUAUACGAGGCCCUAAAUAUGGUAUAAACAGUAGUCCCCCAAGUCUUCAGUCAAGAGAGUCUUUUGGCUGGAGACUUGAAAUUCAGUCCAUGUGUGGGCCAAAGUAACUAAAUGUCAUCUAGAACUGAUGCUCGAUAUGAGGCGGUGCCCAAUCUGAAAUGAUGUUCAACUAGAAGUAGCACAUGUUGUGAGACCGCUUUGCUUGUAGCUUAUGUUGCCUUGGUUGGCUUGGCUUGUGGCGUUUGAAGGUGAGGGAGUCCCUUUUAUAAAAUAAGGGCUCGCUCCUCAUUACAUGAAUAAUGAGUGCUCUCUAAUGAAAGUGAGAGAGUUCCUUUUAUAAAAUAAGGGCUCGCUCCUCAAUACAUAAAUAAUAGGCUAAGUCUCCCAAGUAUUUUUCAUCAGGCCCAGUUGAGGCCCAAUAAAUGGUACAUAAUGUAGUCCCUCAAGUCUUCGGUUAAUAGAGUCUGUUGGCCGGAGACUUCAAAUGGAAUCCAUGUAUGGGCCGAAGUGCGGUUGUUCAGGGGCGGUAUUUGUAUACCCUGCACUGAAGCUUUGUAGGUGAAGCUUUGCAAGUGAAGCUUUGAAGCUGGAGCUCUGUAAAUGAAGCUUUUGAAGCUAGAGCUUUUGUAAAUGAAGCUUUUGAAGUUGGAGCUCUGUAAAUGAAGCUUUUGAAGCUAGAGCUUUUGUAAAUGAAGCUUUUGAAGUUAGAGCUUUUGUAAAUGACGCUUUUGAAGCUAAGGCUUUGUAAAUGAAACUUUUGAAGUUGAUUGUCAUGAGUGAUGCUCAUGAAUGUGUAAUUGACAUGAGUGAUGCUCAUGAAUGUUUGAUUGACAUGAGUGAUGCUCAUGAAUGUUUGAUUGACAUGAGUGAUGCUCAUGGAUGUUAACAUGAGUGAUGCUCAUGAAUGUUUAUGUGUGAUUGAUAUGAGUGAUGCUCAUGAUGUUUAUGUAUGAUUGACAUGAGUAAUGUUCAUGUAUGAUAUGAAGUACUGGGCGUACUUUUAAUCACCUGGUUGGUGGCAUAAAGGAGAGUAAGGGUUGUACAUUUCAGCACCUGGUUGGUGGUAAUAGCGGCAGGUUGCCGAAUAAUUUUGGAGUAGUGGGCGUACUUUUGAUGACCUGGUUGGUGCUAUUUUAGGCUUAUGGGCCUUCACUCUCCACACAACAUUCCAACCCAUUUAUUUUGGGUUUUGUCGUUUUUUUUUUUUUUUUUUUUUUUUUUUUUAACCCUCUGAUAGGGUUUAUACAUAUUACCCUCUGAUGGGGUUUAUACAGAUGUUUCCGAAAGAUAAGGAAAAUAAAUUACAUCAUUCUGGUGGGGUGUUUAUUCCAUGCCAGUGUUUUUCUGCUGUACUCUCUCUGUUUCUUUAUCUGGCAGACAUAAGGAAUCAUAAUAAUAGGAAGAUCUUUUGCUUUUCUUUUUUUUCUCUUUUCCUUUUCUGCUUUUCCUUUGCUUUCUUUUUUUUAUCUUUUCCACUGCACUACAUGUUUACAGCAUGAGUGAGUGCAUGGUUGGAGUUCGUGGAGGACCCGUUGGUGGUGCUCGUGCCACUGCUAGUGGAUGAUUGCUUUUGCCUAUUUUUUGAUGAUGGUGUCUCUUUCUUUUUGAGUUGGUAGUCGACAUAUUAAUUCAUCAGAUAAAAAAAAAAAUUCUUAUCUUCUUUCAUCAGCUUUCUCUGUCCACCACCACAUUGAACCUUAGCUCCAUGAUAUGGGUCUAUCUGAAAAGCAACUUGGGACUGAUUGUAACCAGCCCUUCUACUGGAUACAUGGUGAUGUCUCCAUUGAAGCCGUGACGUCUCCAAGGGCAUGGUGGGCCAGACUUCCACCCGAAAAGCCGCUGGCAUCAUUCUCCAGAUGAUCAAGGAAGGAAAAAUCACGGGUCGGGCCGUUCUUCUGGCGGGUCAGCCCAGAACCGGCAAGAUCGCCAUCUGCGUCGGUUAUGGAGGUGGAGUCGUAGAGGAGGAAGACUGGUGUGGUGUGGUGGUGGUGGGCUUGGGCUUUGUAGCGGAGGAGAAACUUCUCUUCUUCCUCCUUUCUUUUUCUUGGCUGAGAAGCCCCAAUUCCAAUUCAAAUUCUGAUAGAGCAAAAUUUCAAACCACCAGACUGCUGAAUUUGUUAGAAAUCCCGUUUGGCAGUUGAGAAACAGAGAGAGAGAGAUCUAUGUCGGUGUGGACGCCCAAGAACAGGAGAGAGAUGAGGGAUAUGAGAUAGAUGUAGGGAUCUUUCUGUAGCUGCUCUAGCAUAGACACCCAAAGAUCGAGAUUUGAUCAGAACCCCAUUAAAAUUCUCCGAUUGGAAAACAACCCAUUUUGGAAAAAAUGCCGAUUUAAGAGACCCGAGUGAAGAUUUGAUCCAGCACACCAUGGGAGGGCAUGAAGCUGAAAAAUUCGAGCUUAUUUUCCCAAAUCUGUAAAGGUGUUGAAAGAGUUGCAGAGAAGGACAUGGAAGCCGGAAUCCGUGGCGACGGAGAAAUAACGGUGGUCCUGGUUGAAGAACAUAUGGCUGCAGGACUUGCCGGACUUGUGCUUCGCGGCCUGAAGCUGGUGGGUUAUGCUUGCUUUCUUCUCUGCCAUUUUUUCAGUUUUGGGAUUCUCUCUCAAUCCCUCUGUCGGUCUGGCGCAUGUUGACUGGAAAAAACCUGAAAGGGUAGGUUACCUGGCAGGAAGCUCUUCCCACUGGCUGCACUGUUGGAUGAUUGAAAAUUUUGAAGGGGUAGGUUAUAGACCCAUCAAAGGUGGUGGGCGUCGGUCACAGCUCCCUUGUCGGGGACGAUACCUUUCUUGGCAGCAACUGGAGUAAAUGGGACUGUCAUCGCGCCGUGUUCCAUUAUGACAAGGCAAACUUUAACGUGGGGACGGGUGGCAUUAAGCGCUGUUGACAUGGUUGUGUUAAAAACCAACAUAAUUGAAGCUCACAUCCACAUUGGAUUUCAUGGUUGUCUUGAUCUGGGCAAUUUCAUCAUCCAUUUUGUCGAAAGCUUUGAUAGUGUCAUUAGCACCGAGACAACCUUGAAGGGCUUUCUGAGCACGGACCGUCGACGACCUUGAAGGGUUUUCUGAGCACGGAAGGGAGAGGAAGUGCAUCGAUACGACAGGCCUGGACCUCGCUGUAAACGGAGGCGAAUCAGCCGGUGACAUGUGCCGGAACUGACUCAACAUCGGCAGCACCGCCGUUAGCAAUCAGUGAUGGUGGAUGAAUGAGUGGUUGAUUUCUCUGAUGUAUGAGCGGCUGUCUGGAAGCUGACUGGAGCUUUUGCAGAGAGAGAAUGGUGAAACAACGUCGUGGAAGCUGUCUGGAGCUUUUGCUUUUGGACCGCGUCCCAUGACUGGUGCAGGGGAGAAGUCACUAGCAAAUUUGCUAGUUCAAGCCCCGUCCUGCUCAUUUGGUUGUUCAUCUUCAGUAGUUUAUGUAGAAAUAUGCUUCGCAGAUAGAGAAUGGUGAAGUAACGUGAGAGCUGGACGACGUCGUUUGAGCGUAGGGGAACUAGGAGAGAUGAAGCGAGAUCUUAUGAAUCGGAAAGAAAGGUUUAGACUCAUGGGUUCCCAUCCAAAAUUCAGCAUAUGAUUUUUCUUGAGUUUUGGAGUUUUCCUUUCUGCAGUUUUGAGAUAUGGGUUUUGCAGUGACUUUGGUUUCUGGGUUUGUGUGAUUUUGCAGAUUCACGAUGAAGGUGAAAAAAUGAAAGAGAACCGACAUAACUUUUUGUGUCGUUUCCCACAGACGGCGCCAAAUGUUGAUGCACAAAACCGGAUGGUCUUGGUACAACGUAAAUCCGACCGUGAAUCUGCAUGAAAUGUAAAUGACACAAGAUGUAUCGUGGUUCACCCCAAUGUUUGGGCUACGUCCACACUGUAGUUGAUUCUGUUUCUCUGUAAGUGUAUGGAUACAAGUGUUUGGGGGAAGUCCCCCAGAGAAAGAAGAGAAGGGAGAGGAGAGCCUCGGUGGUGUGAGGUCUCUCCUGAAUGUAAUGAGAGCUUCUCUUAGCCUUCUUAGGCUUGGCUCUUUUGCCUCCUUUAGAAUGAGGGUAGGAGUCCCCUUUUAUAGAAUAAGGGGUUCCUCCUCUUUUACAAAGUAUGGGCUUUAGUGU